rnacentral:rRNA from 1 species
CCUACGGGUGGCAGCAGUGGGGAAUAUUGGGCAAUGGGCGAAAGCCUGAACCAGCGAAGUAGCGUGCAGGAUGAUGGCCCUACGGGUUGUAACCUGCGUUUGUAGGGAAGUACCGCCACUUACUUGUUGAGCUUUGCAUGGACCGUAUGUGUAAGGGCCGGCUACUUCCGUUCCGGCCGCCGCGGUAAUACGGAAGGUCCGGGCGUUAUCCGGAUUUGAUGUGUGUAAAGGGAGCGUCGUACGGAUGUCAAGAGUGCGGGGAAAUGUCCGGGCUCAACCCGGGACUUGCAGUGGGAACUGGCGUGCUGGAGUGUGUGGAAAGAAGGCGGAAUUCGAGGUGUAGAGGUGAAAUGCGUAGAUAUGACGAAGAACCUCGAUUGCGAAGGCAGCUUGCUGCAGCGGAACUGACGCUGAUGCUCGAAAGCGUGGGUAUCGAACAGGAUUAGAUACUCCGGUAGUC